AUUUUCCUCCCAUCUUGUCACCAGCUACCACCCUUUUCUUACCCCUCUAAACUUCCGCUCCUCUGCUGCAAGAAGAAGCAGAAACCGCUGCCUUCCAAGCUCCAACAGCCUCUCAUCUUCAGCCACUCACACCCAGUCUUCAAGCUUCCAUUUUCAGCUUCCACCUCCACUUCUUGCUGCUGUCCAGAUCGAGCAAGAGGAAGGAGAGGAUCGUUGUUGCUGCUGCUACUCUCGCUGCUCCUGCCGCUGCUACUACUGCUGGGUUGUUCGGACCAGGGUGAAGGAGAAAAACCAGCUUCCUAUUUCUUCCUUCCACCAACCACAGAACCAUCUCAAGCUCACCAAACAGAACCCCAGCCCUCUUCAUCUUCAGUCGCUGCUGUGCUGCUGCGGUGACUGGCCAGACCGAGAGGGAAACAGAGAGCAAGAGAGCCGGCUGAUCCUCUGUGGUUCUAGGAGCAACUUGAGGAACUAGACAAUACAUUUAGCUAGUAAACAACCCACUUGAAGGAGUUGGUGAAGAGCACAAUCUCGAUCAAAGAUUGGAAUUCUAGACACUUCACUUGAGGUUCUGAAACGCAUGAAGUCUUGGA